AGAUCAUUACUGAACAUUCCUUUUAUAAAAUAUCGUGUUACCAAGAUGACAUGCCUCGAGGAGCAAUACAGGAGGAAAUACCUCUAUUUCUGAUCAAAUUACAACAAUACACCAAAGACAGUAGUUAUGAUCAUGAAGCUAUAAAUUUAAAGAAAAUGUACCAAACGACAAAGACAAUGAUGAUGAAAUUGGAUGCCUCGGAUGAAAUGAAAUGAAAUGAAAGGAUUGAAUGUCAUGGUCAGCAGUCGAUAUGUGUGACUAUACUAAAUGGCUACAAAGAAACUAUGAUGGAUAUACAAAGGUCACAGAAAUGUUUACUUUCAGGUACUGUUCUUUCUUGUUUGCCUGCGAACAGGCUGUAGAUAUGUAGAUAUUGUACCCAGGUCAUUGUUUGUUUUGUUGUUCUGGAUACAAUGAAAUCCGGCAUAAAUUCUGGCGGUAUAAAUGUUUAGUAUAUUUACACAUUCGAUCUAUUUUCUGUUCAGUAGACUUUGAUAGCUUGAAUGAAAGUUUACGAUGAUUUUCUUUGCAAAAACUGUACUUUCGGAAUUCAUCAGCUUCUGAAUUUGAAAACGGAUCUGAAAAGAGAACAUUUGAGUGUAUGGUUAUUGCAUGGUUCUAAUGAUUCGUUUAUAUUACCAUUGUUUCCGUCUGUGUAAAUAUACUGCCUUGGUGCACACACAUUACAAGCGCAGCAACGCAACAGUUUAGACAGGGUCAUGAGGCAGAAUGUGUACAAGAAAAGCUUUGCCAGAGUUUUGUCUUUUGAAAUACAACGACGAUUGGAAAUUGCUGUUUGAUUCUUUGUAAUAUCUUGUUAGUAAAAAAGAAAUUUGUCACUUUCCUCAUGCAAACCUUUUUCAAAAAACUGGCAUCGUUUGUCUUGGGGUUAGGGGGUACAAAUGGUACCCAUAGCUUAGAGGGUGCAAAUGGUACCCGUAAGAAGACUUGGUGGAAUUUAGAUUGGCGAGAAUAAGGCAAUUAUGGUGGCAAAGUUUUUUCAAACAUUUUCUCUCCCGUAGCAAGGUAAAGCAUGUAUAUUCCUGGUAGCCGGUCUUACUUCAUGAAAAAACAGUCCGCUACCAGUGACUAGGUCCCCUCUCUUAUGGCGGUCAUUGCGGCUCAAUGUGUUCAAUGGAACACAAAUGUAUUCAGGCAUGUAGGGGUAUUCCUUUUCAGGGCGUUUGCAUGCGGAUAAGAUGGUCCGUCGCGUGCGCAAAAUAGUUAGCGAGAUAGACAGUUUAGAAGCGUCCGAACUGCACAAUACACACUCGCACGAAACGUAAAAAUAAAAUGGCGUAAUAAAACUGCGAAAACAAAAAUUUGACAACUUUGCCAUUUUGAGCGUG
rnacentral:lncRNA from 1 species